CUUGUAUGAUGAAUUGUUUGAAGUGGAUCAAUGGAGUUUGUUGUUCCCCCAACAGACUCAUCUGUAUUUUUCUCGAUUUCUGUGAACUUCUCUGCUACUAAUACAUUCAGUGACUUGAAGGUUGUGAAUGUCUUGCCCCAGAAAGGUGGAGCUCCACCGAAGUUCGGUCAAAGAACGCAGUGAUGUAGGCUAAACUUAGGGAAGAAGCAGUAUGAACCACCUAGGUACAUGACAAUAAAGACUGCCAUUGAGCAGCUCCUGGAAGUUGUGCAAGUAAAAGUAG